ACGAAGUCUACAAGUGGAUAUGGCUUCCUGCAGGAAAGUCGUGCUCAUCCUUUCACGAGUGAGUCAUUGGGCUCAAGCGAGAAACAAAAGAUUUACGAACCAAAGCCUUUGGCAGACACGAACUUGCAAUGUGAAUCGUAUGGCAUAUGUUAUUUACAGUUACCUUGGCUUACAAGAUUAUUCACAACAACAUGUUUUGCCAACACUAAGAAAAUUCAACCUCAAUGUUCUUAUUGACUCUUGGUCUUUAUGAAAAAACGAGGGAUUCAAGCAAAGUUUCAAAGAACAGCAGCUUUUCUGACUUGUAACCGAAGUCAAUCCUGACAUGUCUUUUUUACAUUAGUCCGGGUCUUUCACAAUACAACUCUCCAAGUUAUUUUUGAUUUAUGUAUCUACUAUUUUUUAAGAAAUAAAAGAUGUUUACUGUGUUUGGACAGGCUUGUGCCAAACAAGAGAUUAA